CAAAUUUGAGGAAUCAUAUCUGCUGGCUUUGUAGUCCAAACAGAGUUGCAGUGGGUAAAUCUUAAUGGCUGGCAGAAAAUUGGUUCGGGAUAUAUUACUCUCAACACAAAGUAUUUUUUAUCAGUUUA